AACGAACGCUGGCGGCGUGCCUAACACAUGCAAGUCGUGCGAGAAAGUUCCUUCGGGAGCGAGUAAAGCGGCGCACGGGUGAGUAACACGUAGGUAACCUGCCCCCCAGUCUGGAACAACUAGAGGAAACUCUAGCUAAUGCCGGAUGAGACCACGAUCCCUUCGGGGGUUGCGGCCAAAGAUGGCCUCUACUUGUAAGCUAUCGCUGAGGGAUGGGCCUGCGGGCCAUUAGCUUGUUGGUGAGGUAACGGCUCACCAAGGCUGUGAUGGCUAGCUGGUCUGAGAGGAUGACCAGCCACACUGGGACUGAGACACGGCCCAGACUCCUACGGGAGGCAGCAGUGGGGAAUAUUGCGCAAUGGGCGAAAGCCUGACGCAGCGAC
rnacentral:rRNA from 1 species